UCCAAAGGCCAGAAAGCGCUUUAAACUCCCAGAUUUGAGCCAAACUGCCUUUCUGAGCAGCGUUUCUGAGGCUGGAGAGCCUCACAAACUUCCAGCAAAGUAGCUGCGGCUCCCUGAAGUGAUAAAUAAAACUAGUCAGGUACUUUUUCUUCCAGAGAGCCAUACAAAUUGGUCCAUGUUGACAGAUGUUUGUCACUUAGUAACUUCUUUCCAAGUUUUUUUUUUUUUUUCCUCCCUCUCCCCUCCUCUAAGCCUUCUUCCGAGCUUGCUUUGUUGUUUUAAAAUAUGCAUGUCUCUCAGGAAUGCAAGUCACGAGUCCAAACUUCGUGUCCAACCUCCCACAAGAAAUGAUCCUUUUAUAGGGAACCCGAUAUGUCUCAAUCUGCACUUCACUCAAAGCCGCUGGAUAUAGGGCACUGGUCCCUGCUCAAAAAUAACACCGCCGAAACGCCUUUCCACCUAAAAAAUCCCCACGAAUGACUGCCAGGGAAGAAAUACAGCUCCCGUAAUUAAGGAAGGCAGCGGUCAGAGGGGAAUGCAGCCCGGAGGAAAAAAAAAAAAAAAGGAGAGAAAAAAAAAGAAAGAAAGAAAAAGGGCAGAGGAGGGAGAGGGAGUUUUUAUUCCUGUGCCCGCUGCACUGGGCCGUCAUUAGCAGCAGGUUUAUCAGGAUGAGCCUCUGAGGCAGCUCCGGGUGCACGGGGAGAAGGCGUCAGCUCAUGACCAGCAGAGAAGACGAGAGAUUAAGGAGCAGAGCCCAACUCCGAGAAAAGACUGGGUUCCCUGUCUCGGAGAACCUUCCACGUCGGAGGAAACCUCGCCGGUGGAGCCCGAGAUUUAAAAACGUCGCCCCCGAGCCCAGCCCCGAUACGGGCGCAGCCCCUGGCCCCUGCCCCGGUCGCGCCGCCGCUUCGGGACCCGCCGGGGGCCGGGGGCAGCCCCGGGGGGGCGCACGGAGACUCCCCCCCCCCGGCCCCGAUCCGCGGGGUGCCCGUCACAGCCGCCCCCGCUGCCUUGCGCCGGGGUUAAGCAGCGUAACCUGCCCGAACAGCUCAAUACUGUUAUUAUCUCUGUGCUAAUUUCAUCAUUUCUGCAUCACGGGGCAGAUGCAGGGCGCGCAGGGCGCUGCCCCAGCGGGAAGCGGGGCUGCGAAAGGGCGGCUCCCCAUUGCAGGGUGCCACGGAGAGGAAAUGGGGUGCACCUGCUGGACACGGCACCUCGGGCGUUGUGGUCCCACCGCAUCUCAAUAUGCUUCCCCACAUACUGACGGGGAUGGAGAGAGGGAGAUAAAUGGGGGGUAGGGAGAUAAAAAGUGAAAAACAAAGAGAGAGAGAAAGGAAAAGGGAAAGAGAGAGAAGGUAAAGGGAUAGAAAGAAAAGAAAAGGAAAAAGAUUAAUGACGAGAAAGAAAGAGAGAGAGAAAGAGAGAGGGAGAGAGAGAGAGAGAGAAAGAAAGUGAGAAAGUGAGAAAGAGAAAGAGAGAGAGAGAAAGAAAGAAAGAAAGAAAGAAAGAAAGAGAGAGAGGAAGGAAGGAAGGAAGGAAGGAAGGAAGGAAGGAAGGAAGGAAGGAAGGAAGGAAGAAAGAAAGAAAGAAAGAAAGAAAGAGGAAGGAAGAAAGAAAGAGGAAGGAAGGAAGGAAGGAAGGAAGGAAGGAAGGAAGGAAGGAAGGAAGGAAGGAAGGAAGGAAG
rnacentral:lncRNA from 1 species